GGGAGAGUGGAACCGAGCGAGCAAGGGUCUUGUUACAUUGUGAUGGUGAACUCUUGGCUGCUCCUCCCACAAUGUGCACGCAUUUAGCAGCGGAAAGCAAAUUGAUUGCCAGCAGGACCGUUUGAAAGCACAAUAACCUGACUCAGAUUAAAUAAUGUGGCUGUUCCAUUUACGCAAAUGGAAGAAAAAGAACAUCUAAAUUACCUCUGUGCUUCUUCUUGUUUCCUGUUGUUGUUUUCUGAUAUGUUAUUAUUGUAAUCUCAAGGGCAAUUGAAUAAAUGCUGAAAUACAAGAAA